rnacentral:rRNA from 1 species
AUUGAACGCUGGCGGCAGGCUUAACACAUGCAAGUCGAGCGGAGAUGAGGUGCUUGCACCUUAUCUUAGCGGCGGACGGGUGGGUAAUGCUUAGGAAUCUGCCUAUUAGUGGGGGACAACAUUCCGAAAGGAAUGCUAAUACCGCAUACGUCCUACGGGAGAAAGCAGGGGAUCUUCGGACCUUGCGCUAAUAGAUGAGCCUAAGUCGGAUUAGCUAGUUGGUGGGGUAAAGGCCUACCAAGGCGACGAUCUGUAGCGGGUCUGAGAGGAUGAUCCGCCACACUAGGACUGAGACACGGCCCAGACUCCUACGGGAGGCAGCAGUGGGGAAUAUUGGACAAUGGGGGGAACCCUGAUCCAGCCAUGCCGCGUGUGUGAAGAAGGCCUUAUGGUUGUAAAGCACUUUAAGCGAGGAGGAGGCUACUGAGACUAAUACUCUUAGAUAGUGGACGUUACUCGCAGAAUAAGCACCGGCUAACUCUGUGCCAGCCGCCGCCGUAACAC